rnacentral:rRNA from 1 species
CAGCACGGGUGCUUGCACCUGGUGGCGAGUGGCGAACGGGUGAGUAAUAUAUCGGAACGUACCUUGUCGUGGGGGAUAACGCAGCGAAAGCUGCGCUAAUACCGCAUACGCCCUGAGGGGGAAAGCGGGGGACCGUAAGGCCUCGCGCGAUUAGAGCGGCCGAUAUCUGAUUAGCUUGUUGGUGGGGUAAAAGCCCACCAAGGCGACGAUCAGUAGCUGGUCUGAGAGGACGAUCAGCCACACUGGGACUGAGACACGGCCCAGGCUCC